GAUGAACGCUGGCGGCGUGCCUUAUACAUGCAAGUCGAGCGAAAAGACGAGGAGCUUGCUCCUCUGACGUUAGCGGCGGAAGGGUGAGUAACACGUGGAUAACCUACCUAUAAGACUGGGAUAACUUCGGGAAACCGGAGCUAAUACCGGAUAAUAUAUUGAACCGCAUGGUUCAAUAGUGAAAGACGGUUUUGCUGUCACUUAUAGAUGGAUCCGCGCCGCAUUAGCUAGUUGGUAAGGUAAAGGCUUACCAAGGCAACGAUGCGUAGCCGACCUGAGAGGGUGAUCGGCCACACUGGAACUGAGACACGGUCCAGACUCCUACGGGAGGCAGCAGUAGGGAAUCUUCCGCAAUGGGCGAAAGCCUGACGGAGCAACGCCGCGUGAGUGAUGAAGGUCUUCGGAUCGUAAAACUCUGUUAUUAGGGAAGAACAAAUGUGUAAGUAACUAUGCACUUCUUGACGGUACCGAAUCAGAAAGCCACGGCUAACUACGUG
rnacentral:rRNA from 1 species